rnacentral:tRNA from 1 species
GCCGCGCUGGUCAGCGUGGAGGACGGCUGGUUCCGGGCCGGCCGGGCGCGGGUGGAGCUGCGCUUCGUCGGCGAGGUGGUGCC